rnacentral:rRNA from 1 species
UACAGAGGUCUCAAGCGUUGUUCGGAUUCAUUGGGCGUAAAGGGUGCGUAGGCGGCGCGGUAAGUCGGGUGUGAAAUCUCGGAGCUUAACUCCGAAACUGCAUUCGAUACUGCCGUGCUUGAGGACUGGAGAGGAGACUGGAAUUUACGGUGUAGCGGUGAAAUGCGUAGAUAUCGUAAGGAAGACCAGUGGCGAAGGCGGGUCUCUGGACAGUUCCUGACACUGAGGCACGAAGGCCAGGGGAGCAAACAGG